GCCCGGAUGGCGGAAUAGGUAGACGCGUUGGUCUCAAAAACCAAUGGACGCAAGUCCGUGCCGGUUCGAUUCCGGCUCCGGGUA
rnacentral:tRNA from 1 species